GCCUCUGUGGUGCAAUGGUAAUAGCACGUGUCUCCGGAAUAGAUGAUACGCGGGUUCCGAUUCCCGCCUAACGCC